UUUUUUUUUUUUUUUUUUUUUUUUUUUUUUUUUUUUUCC
rnacentral:ribozyme from 13 species